rnacentral:rRNA from 1 species
GACGAACGCUGGCGGCGUGCCUAACACAUGCAAGUCGAACGGAACUGUCUUGACAGAUUUCUUCGGAAUGCAUUAGAUUUAGUUUAGUGGCGGACGGGUGAGUAACGCGUGAGUAACCUGCCUUCAAGAGGGGAAUAACAUUCUGAAAAGAAUGCUAAUACCGCAUGACAUAUCGGAACCACAUGGUUUUGAUAUCAAAGAUUUUAUCGCUUGAAGAUGGACUCGCGUCCGUUUAGUUAGUUGGUGAGGUAACGGCUCACCAAGACCGCGAUCGGUAGCCUGACUGGGGGGUUGGACGGCCACAUUGGGACUGGGGCACGGCCCAGACUCCUACGGGAGGGAGCAGUGGGGGAUAAUGCGCAAUGGGGGCAACCCUGACGCAGCAACGGCGCGGGAAGGAUGAAAGUUUUCGGGUUGUAAACUUCUUUUAUUAAGGGCGAAAAAUGACGGUACUUAAUGAAUAAGCUCCGGCUAACUACGUG